GGACGUAGCUGUCUGCAGUGCAGGAGCCAUCUACUAAGGUGUAACAAGUGUAUUUUGGAGCCUGCUGUCCCUGUGGAUUGAGCCGGUGAAGCCCUGAGGCUCUCUAGGGGUGGAUGGAGAAGGAGCUGGGGGCCUUGGCUGUAAGGACCCCUAAGG
rfam:Callithrix jacchus chromosome 16, whole genome shotgun sequence